ensembl:lncRNA
AUUUACCUCUAGGCAAGUCAGUUAAGAACAAAUUCUUAUUUUCAAUGACGGCCUAGGAACAGUGGGUUAACUGCCUGUUCAGGGGCAGAACGACAGAUUUGUACCUUGUCAGCUCGGGGGUUUGAACUUGCAACCUUCCGGUUACUAGUCCAACGCUCUAACCACUAGGCUACCCUGCCGCCCCAGAUGCUGGCUCCACCACUAUCACUAGCACGCUAGUUUCUCGAAACUCCGCUACAGCUAGCUUCACAGUUGGGUGCACAGUUCGCAUAUGCCGGUCUGUUCUUCCUCUCUCUCCUCGGCUGCUAAGUGUGUGACUGUGAGUGUAUUGGCUCGGCCCUCCCUCACGCAUCUUGACAGGAACGACAGAUUUGGCUCUUCUGAUAUGCGAGCCGGCUCCCAAUGUUCACCUACAAGAGCCCUUAGAGCCGACUCGUUCACUAAUCUCCAGUUUAGAGAAUAUCAGCUCGUGAGAAGUCAAGUUAGAGAGCUCCAGCCAUCGUUGUGUUUUCCCACCAGUUAGCUUUCAUUGUGUUAGCCAAGGCCAGCGUGCGUCCUUGUUGAUAUGCAAGUACAUAUUUCAUACCUUUCAGGUGUUUAUGUCUGAAGAUGCACUCUGCGACGAUAAUGUCAUAUUUAUGGUUAUGCUAAUUAGUAGUUUCUACUGAGAGCUAGCUAUUGCGAGCGGGCUCUCUCUGUUUUGGCUGUCAGAUCAUUUCACACAUUUAACCCUGUAUUUGUAAAGGAAAAUGUCCCCCAGUGCAUUGUUUAUAUGCCCUGUAUAGGUGUAUGGCACAUCAUUAUAUGGGUAUUACAUUGUAUUUGACUGUUUAGAGGUAUUCAAGUUAAUUGUGCAGUUGUAGCCCUGUACUGAAGAUGGUGCUAUGCUUUGUAGCAUGUGUGCAGCACCACCACUUUGAACUUAAUUAGUGCAGUCACAGUCAUGUUGAAUUGCGUUGUGUGGUCCUGUAUAGCAUCAAGUUAUCAUAGUCAUGUUAUAGCCAUGCAAAUUGUUUAUAAGAGAUGUGAAUUGGAGAUUGUAUUCUGUGGUAUCUUUAUUUCUCUCUUACCUUGCAGACUAACCACACUUUGGUUGACGCAAGUUGCCAGACCACUAAGAGCCUUUGCCCAUCCAUACUACAUACACUGUGCGGUUCCGUGCCUGUGCAGUCGGCGUUAUUAAACCACCUCAAC